rnacentral:rRNA from 1 species
AGAGUUUGAUUCUGGCUCAGGACGAACGCUGGCGGCGUGGAUAAGACAUGCAAGUCGAACGACGGCUACAGGGUAGCAAUAUUUUGUAGUCGGAGUGGCGCAAGGGUGCGUAACACGUGGGCAAUCUGCCGCGAAGCUUGGAAUAACCCCGAGAAAUCGGGGCUAAUACCAGAUGUGACUGUCGAGGGGCCUCCCUGGACAGUCAAAGUCGGGGACCGAAAGGCCUGACACUUCGCGAUGAGCCCGCGGCCUAUCAGGUAGUUGGAGGGGUAACGGCCCACCAAGCCUAAGACGGGUAGCUGGUCUGAGAGGACGACCAGCCACACUGGAACUGAGACACGGUCCAGACACCUACGGGUGGCAGCAGUCGAGAAUUUUUCACAAUGGGCGAAAGCCUGAUGGAGCGACGCCGCGUGGGGGAUGAAUGGCUUCGGCCCGUAAACCCCUGUCAUUCGCGAUCAAACGUUGUUAUUUAAAAGAUGACAGCCUGAUAGUAGCGAAAGAGGAAGGGACGGCUAACUCUGUGCCAGCAGCCGCGGUAAUACAGAGGUCCCAAGCGUUGUUCGGAUUCACUGGGCGUAAAGGGUGCGUAGGCGGUCGGAUAAGUCUGACGUGAAAUCCCGCAGCUCAACUGCGGAACGGCGUCGGGUACUAUUUGGCUGGAGGUUUGGAAGGGGGACUGGAAUUCUCGGUGUAGCAGUGAAAUGCGUAGAUAUCGAGAGGAACACCAGCGGCGAAAGCGAGUCCCUGGACAACACCUGACGCUGAGGCACGAAAGCUAGGGGAGCAAACAGGAUUAGAUACCCUGGUAGUCCUAGCCCUAAACGGUGCACGUUUGCUGUAAGCGGAAUCGACCCCGCUUGUGGCGAAGCUAACGCGUUAAACGUGCCGCCUGGGAAGUACGGCCGCAAGGUUAAAACUCAAAGAAAUUGACGGGGGCCUGCACAAGCGGUGGAGUAUGUGGCUCAAUUCGAUUCAACGCGAAGAACCUUACCUGGCCUUGACAUGCACAUAGUAGAAGCCUGAAAAGGUAACGAGGUAGCAAUACCAGUGUGCACAGGUGCUGCAUGGCUGUCGUCAGCUCUCGUGAGAUGUUGGGUUAAGUCCCGCAACGAGCGCAACCCCUGUGUCCUGUUGCCACCCGGCCAAAAACCGGAGCACUCUGGACAGACUGCCUCGCUCAAACGGGGAGGAAGGUGGGGAUGAC